ensembl:lncRNA
CAAAAGUGAAUUGUUUGAACUAGCCACUGAGCUAAUUCGGGAAGAGGAAACAAUCAGCGCUAUAGUAGUAGGCGUAGUAGCCCAGAUGUGCUGUCCGGCUAGACAGUAGAUGGGGAAGUUACAGUUUUAUUGGAAUUUGCGACUUUCUGAAAAAAAAGAGAGCCAAAGUCACAUAUAAAAGCGGACAUGGCAACCCUGUCAAAAAAGAGAAAAGUAUUGGACCACUUUACCUUAAAGUAUUCAACGAAAACUGAUGGUUGCAAAAGUUACAGGGCAGAACUCUCAUGACACUGGAGCCUGACUGCAAAGCUUGUGCAUUUAAAGAGAAAACACGUUGUAGCCUAAAUGACAGAAGAUGAAGAGUGCCCUGCAUGAUACCUUCAACAUCUUGUCCAGACAACAAACUCAGGAUGAUGUACAUCACAGAACUUGCUGUUUCAAUCAAUGUCGAUCAGGAGCAAGCCCUACGCAAUCAAGGUUUCAAGUCAGAUUAUGAUGAUCUGAACCAAGGUGCAGGAGGAAACAAGGUUUACCUCUGGUACAAGAAAGGCACAUGUGAUCCCAUCACCAGAUUGCAGGUUGCAUUCAUGGAUGACAUGAACAAGGGUUUGAGAAAUGCAGGUUAUAUUCCGGUAGAUGGAAACCUCAACGCGGGGAAUUGUGGAGAUGGCAUCUUUCUCUGGUACUACAAAGGUACAACUGAAUAUGACAACCCUAUAGUGGAACUCAAGGUAACCACAUAUGUGGAAGAUGAAGCCCCAUUUUUCAAUAAUGGCUGCAAACGACUGGCGUCUGAUCUGAAUCGCAACUGUUGUGGGAACCAAAUCCAUCUCUGGGCGCUGAAAGAGAAGAAAAUGUACAUCUCUGACAUCACUGCCACCACGAGUUUUGGAACUGAUGAUGAUCUUUUUAACGAUGGCUACACCCGUGUGGAUGAAGAUGUGAAUCGAAAUAUAAGAAUAACCUCCGGCUUCAUCUGGUAUCGUUGUUCUGAAUCGGCCCAAGAAGGUUUUAGUGACCCGAAUGUCUUUAAUAACAACAAAGAGGAGGAAAACCUUCAGCAAAGGGGCUAUACCAGUGUUAGUGCUAACCUCAAUGAAGGAGCAGGAGGCAACCAGAUCUAUCUCUGGUACAAGAAGGGUUCAGAUCAUCCCAUCUCAACCCUCACUAUGAUCAUGGUUGGAGCAAAGGGUCCUUAUGAGAAGGCCGGCAUCAGUGUCAUUGGAAAAAGUCUGAAUACAGGCAACAAUGGCACUCCGUUGUACCUGGCAUUCCCAUGAAAGCGGGAGGGGUUUCAUUUGAUGUAUGACAGAUGAUUAGUAUUCCUGUCAAAAUAGCUUUGGAUUACAUAGUUAGCCAAGCAUUACAGAGCUUAGCAUUACAUAGCCAAGAUAUCACAACACCAAUACCACGUAACUUCAAAGGCAGUUAAACUCACUUGAUGCAGUAAUGAUUUUAGUCACUAAACAUAACCUACAAUUGUAUCUGAAUCUUCUAAAUCACAUUGUAAUUGAAAUAUCUAUGUUGUUAAUGCUUCUGCUUUUUGUGAUAUGGGACAACGUGCAUUGCCAGCAAAUAAACCAUCAUCCAUAUCAGUAAUCAGCUUGCUCUUUUCUUACCAGGUCUAAUAACAAUAUUAAGUUAACAGAUGGAGACCUCAAGAUAAU